rnacentral:sRNA from 1 species
AAUUUCAUUUGAAACGGCAUCCUUUUGUGGCAAUGCGCGGUGCUAUUUUCAGCCACAAAAGAUACAGUGGAUAGCCCGACCCGCU